rnacentral:rRNA from 1 species
UAACACAUGCAAGUCGAGGGGCAGCAUGGUCUUAGCUUGCUAAGGCCGAUGGCGACCGGCGCACGGGUGAGUAACACGUAUCCAACCUGCCGUCUACUCUUGGACAGCCUUCUGAAAGGAAGAUUAAUACAAGAUGGCAUCAUGAGUCCGCAUGUUCACAUGAUUAAAGGUAUUCCGGUAGACGAUGGGGAUGCGUUCCAUUAGAUAGUAGGCGGGGUAACGGCCCACCUAGUCUUCGAUGGAUAGGGGUUCUGAGAGGAAGGUCCCCCACAUUGGAACUGAGACACGGUCCAAACUCCUACGGGAGGCAGCAGUGAGGAAUAUUGGUCAAUGGGCGAGAGCCUGAACCAGCCAAGUAGCGUGAAGGAUGGCUGCCCUAUGGGUUGUAAACUUCUUUUAUAAAGGAAUAAAGUCGGGUAUGGAUACCCGUUUGCAUGUACUUUAUGAAUAAGGAUCGGCUAACUCCGUGCCAGCAGCCGCGGUAAUACGGAGGAUCCGAGCGUUAUCCGGAUUUAUUGGGUUUAAAGGGAGCGUAGAUGGAUGUUUAAGUCAGUUGUGAAAGUUUGCGGCUCAACCGUAAAAUUGCAGUUGAUACUGGAUAUCUUGAGUGCAGUUGAGGCAGGCGGAAUUCGUGGUGUAGCGGUGAAAUGCUUAGAUAUCACGAAGAACUCCGAUUGCGAAGGCAGCCUGCUAAGCUGCAACUGACAUUGAGGCUCGAAAGUGUGGGUAUCAAACAGGAUUAGAUACCCUGGCAGUCCACACGGUAAACGAUGAAUACUCGCUGUUUGCGAUAUACUGCAAGCGGCCAAGCGAAAGCGUUAAGUAUUCCACCUGGGGAGUACGCCGGCAACGGUGAAACUCAAAGGAAUUGACGGGGGCCCGCACAAGCGGAGGAACAUGUGGUUUAAUUCGAUGAUACGCGAGGAACCUUACCCGGGCUUAAAUUGCAGAUGAAUUACGGUGAAAGCCGUAAGCCGCAAGGCAUCUGUGAAGGUGCUGCAUGGUUGUCGUCAGCUCGUGCCGUGAGGUGUCGGCUUAAGUGCCAUAACGAGCGCAACCCUUGUUGUCAGUUACUAACAGGUUCCGCUGAGGACUCUGACAAGACUGCCAUCGUAAGAUGUGAGGAAGGUGGGGAUGACGUCAAAUCAGCACGGCCCUUACGUCCGGGGCUACACACGUGUUACAAUGGGGGGUACAGAGGGCCGCUACCACGCGAGUGGAUGCCAAUCCCCAAAACCUCUCUCAGUUCGGACUGGAGUCUGCAACCCGACUCCACGAAGCUGGAUUCGCUAGUAAUCGCGCAUCAGCCACGGCGCGGUGAAUACGUUCCCGGGCCUUGUACACACCGCCCGUCAAGCCAUGGGAGCCGGGGGUACCUGAAGUGCGUAAACGGGAGGAGCGCCCUAGGGUAAAACUGGUGACUGGGCCU